UUGGUUUCUCCUCAUCAAGCAGAAAAAACAAUUUGAAUAGAGGUGCAAUAACAGUUGUAAUUCUCACCAUCAUCAUAUGAAAAAUGGUUGUCAAGAGAAAUUAAUCAAGAAGAUCAUACAUAUUCAAAACAGGUAUCCGAUCAUCAAAAGUCUGCAAAGUUAGAAAUAAAACCAUCACAUGCAAUUUCCAAGACUAUAAUUCAUCUUCUUCUUCGCUAGAAAUCAUUUUAGGAUUCGUAUUGGAGGUGGAGCAACUUCAUAUGUUUAGCUAGCUAAGCUUGGGAAUGGAAGAUUAGGAAUUGUUAAACGUGUCUUGGAGGAGAGAGGUGGCAGCUAAAAGAUGUUUCUAGAUAAAAUUUCGGCCCUUCUUCGGAAUCUCACAUCCAAAACCUAUUUGACCGUAUGCACCGUCCUCCUGGUCAGCGACGGCCACGACAAGCGGGUCGAUUUUGGCCUAUGCAAACUCAGGAAUGACGCGCAGAGCUUGCACACGCCGAUCGUCGUCAAGGCUCGCUCGGUUACAUCGACACGGAUUACCUGAACACCGAUGUUGUUUUGCCAAAGAACGACGUUUACAGCUUCGGGGUUUUGCUUCUCCAGCUAAUCACAGGGCUGAAAUCACUGCAGGGAUCGUUCACUCCGGUGGAAUGGAUGGAGGAGCGCCGAAAGAGCGACGAUUUGGGGGUAUUGAUGGGGAUUUUGGACCAUCUUAUCUUUCACAUCCCACUAACAGAUUAAUUAAAAUUAAAAAAAAAAUGUAUGAAAUAAUGAAAGAGUAAGAAACUCCUACACCAAUCUAAAAAUAAGAAAAAGAAAACCAUGACUAUCACCAUCUUCCUAUGAAUAAGAAUCAAUCGCACCCUUUUGAAAUUAAAUUGGAAAUCUUGAGAACUCAAUUUGAAUUGUCGAACCUGGGCUCAUUAUUUCCAUAUUUCUCACUCAAAGAAGAAUCAAAGAAAAAGAUUUACCUAUUUUUUUCUCUGUGUAGAAAAGGAGGACUCGUCGGAGGUCAGCUGGUGAAGAUGAAUAUUGAGGAAAAAAAAAAAAGAAAAAAAAAAAGAAAAAAAAAAAGAAAAAAAAAGGUGAAGCUGAUGUUAAUGUCGUACCAGAGAGAAGGAUGGA
rnacentral:lncRNA from 1 species